UUUUGUCAUAAGUCUGCCCCAAAUAUUGCAUGGGACAGAUUUAGAAAAUUAA
rnacentral:pre_miRNA from 1 species